UAGGGAAUCUUCGGCAAUGGACGAAAAUACUGACCGAGCAACGCCGCGUGAGUGAAGAAGGUUUUCGGAUCGUAAAACUCUGUUGGUAGAGAAGAACGUUGGUGAGAGUGGAAAGCUCAUCAAGUGACGGUAACUACCCAGAAAGGGACGGCUAACUACGUGCCAG
rnacentral:rRNA from 1 species